rnacentral:rRNA from 1 species
AACGAACGCUGGCGGCGCGCCUAAUACAUGCAAGUCGAGCGAGAAGACGUAGCAAUACGUUUGUAAAGCGGCGAACGGGUGAGGAAUACAUGGGUAACCUACCCUCGAGUGGGGAAUAACUAGCCGAAAGGUUAGCUAAUACCGCGUACGCUCCUUGGACUUCGGUUCAGGGAGGAAAGCGAUACCGUGGGUAUCGCGCUCUUGGAUGGGCUCAUGUCCUAUCAGCUUGUUGGUGAGGAACGGCUCACCAAGGCUUCGACGGGUAGCUGGUCUGAGAGGACGAUCAGCCACACUGGCACUGCGACACGGGCCAGACUCCUACGGGGAGCAGCAGUAAGGAAUAUUGCGCAAUGGGCGAAAGCCUGACGCAGCGACGCCGCGUGGGGGAUGAAGGUC